rnacentral:rRNA from 1 species
UUAAUGGAGAGUUUGAUCCUGGCUCAGGACGAACGCUGGCGGCGUGCCUAAUACAUGCAAGUCGAGCGCUUGGGGAG